GCUCCUACUCUUACUAUGUGACAGGUCAACUUCCCUUUUGCCUUCUGCUAUGAUUGUAAACUUCUUGAGGCUCUCACCAGAAGCCGACGCUGAAGCCAAGCUUGUAUAGCCUGCAGAACUGUGAGGCAAUGAAACCUCUUUUCUUUGUAAAUUACUCAGUCUCAGGUAUUUCAUAGCAACAUAAAAAUGGCCUAACACAGUAAAUUUGUAUUAUUUGUUGAAUGUUAUGAAUGCUAUCAUGUCUUAGUUUGUCUCCUUUUUAAGGAUGUUAAAUAUUUUUAUGCAAAAUAACCAAAUUACUGGUAGAUCCUGUGGAGCUGUUUUCUUUGGUUAUGAUGUCACUAUUUCACUUUUCAAUGAAAUCCUAGAAUGUUGCCUUUAUGGUAAAAUGUGAGUCUUGUGUAUGAGACGUAUCAUUUUCUGGGAUCUCAAGUGGAUGCUCAAGGUGUGUAGUGAGGUUUCUACACCGUUGUUUUGUCAGAACAUCAAUGUCCAUGAGUUCUACAGGACCUCCUGUAUCUCCGUUCAGCUGCCAACUCUGUAGCAAGUCCUCCCUGCAAGGCCUUAAGGAAUCUCUUGUGGAUGCGCGUCCAGCCCUGUGCAAGGCUUCAAAGAAAAGCAGUUGAAACACCAUUAGUUAACAGAUUGCCCAAUGAAGUCGAUGACAACUGUGAUAAGAAAUUACUCACUAUCACAGUGUCUCCAAGAGAUGAACAGUGG
rnacentral:lncRNA from 10 species